UAGGGGAAUCUUCCACAAUGGGCGGAAAGCCUGAUGGAGCAACGCCGCGUGUGUGAUGAAGGGUUUCGGGCUCGUAAAACACUGUUGUAAGAGAAGAAUGACAUUGAGAGUAACUGUUCAGUGUGUGACGGUAUCUUACCAGAAAGGAACGGCUAAAUACGUGCUAG
rnacentral:rRNA from 1 species